rnacentral:rRNA from 1 species
GACAGAGGAUGCAAGCGUUAUCCGGAAUGAUUGGGCGUAAAGCGUCUGUAGGUGGCUUUUUAAGUCCGCCGUCAAAUCCCAGGGCUCAACCCUGGACAGGCGGUGGAAACUACCAAGCUGGAGUACGGUAGGGGCAGAGGGAAUUUCCGGUGGAGCGGUGAAAUGCGUAGAGAUGUGGAGGAACACCGAUGGCGAAGGCAGCCCCCUGGGCCAAUACUGACGCUCAUGCACGAAAGCGUGGGGAGCAAACAGGAUUAG